GGUCCGAUGCCACGUCUACGGUAGCUAAUAGAGCAUUGACCGGAGAUGCUAUGAUUGGACCAACAUCAAUUUCAUGUUUCGCAUCUUGAUAGGAAUCUGUGGAUCGAUUGUUCUUGGUUCGUCCACGGAGCCGUUUUAUGCGAUUACAUUU